UACAGGCUGCGAGGGAGCAGGGGGUGGAGGGGAGGGCAGGCGCAGCGCGGGACUGGGUGGCUGGGGACGGGGGAAGGCAAAGGGCGCCUUGAGACCUCGUCUGUUCUCUUCGCCACCCGGGGUCGUGAAGAGCUAAGUGGACGCCCUUUACCCUUCAGACAUCUUGGGGCAAAAUUGUCAGUGAACAGUCCUUAACCAUCUCUGUGCUGGGCCCCUCUGAUCGGUCCCGGUAAAUGAAGGGCGAUGUGUACAUCCCUAGGACCCCACAAAUGAAACGCCAACUAGCAGCGAGGGUCCGGCAGGUGAAGGAAGGGGCCGACCCUCAUUUGCCCCCAGUUUCCCUGGAUCUUCUGUUCUGUUCUCUUCAACCGAAAGGAGAACCUUCAAGGCGGUCACAUUUAUGGGGCGACCAUGAUACCAGUUUGGACAGUCAGCACCAGGCUGGGGCUGGCAAAGAGGAAGAGAAGGAGGAGGAGGAGGAACCUUGGCAACAAGUAGCCUUUCUUAACGGCCAGAAUGUCACAGGGCUGGCAACACAAUGGGAUUCAGAUUGAGGCGGCACUGACACCGGGCUGAGAGUCAAUGUUUCCAGUACAGCUGAGCCAAACAAGGGAGAAGCUUAGAGUCCCAUUCCACCACCUGGAAGGGAGCUACCCAGAGACGUUCCAGGCUUCCUUUCAGUUAUGAUACCCUUCCAACAAAUUCUUUUCCCGCGGAAGUUGCUCACCUCCGUCGCUUUCAACCACAUCCCUGAUGGAUCUGUCACCAGUAACGAUUUCAACAGCCAGAGGAAGAAUGAUGACCAGUGAGAUUAAACCAUGUUAUCUCACUUGGGACUGUAUGCAUUGAUUGCACUGACCCUUUAUAAAGCAACAAAUGUAUACUCAGCACUGACUAA